rnacentral:ncRNA from 1 species
UUCUCAUAGCGUGGUCGUGUUAAUAGUUCUUCUUUUGGCCGAGGAGAGCGGUUAGUGAAUC